rnacentral:rRNA from 1 species
UACGUAGGGUGCAAGCGUUAAUCGGAAUUACUGGGCGUAAAGCGUGCGCAGGCGGUGAUGUAAGACAGUUGUGAAAUCCCCGGGCUCAACCUGGGAACUGCAUCUGUGACUGCAUCGCUGGAGUACGGCAGAGGGGGAUGGAAUUCCGCGUGUAGCAGUGAAAUGCGUAGAGAUGCGGAGGAACACCGAUGGCGAAGGCAGCCCCCUGGGCUAGCACUGACGCUCAGGCACGAAAGCGUGGGGAGCAAACAGG